AAGGUAAGGAAUAACGUCGAGAAAUCGGCGCUAAUACCUCAUAAUGCAGCGGAUCCGCAUGGAUAUGUUGUUUAAAGGUUUACCGCCUUGGGAUAGGCUUGCGUCUGAUCAGCUAGUUGGUGUGGUAAUGGCACACCAAGGCUACGAUCAGUAACUGGUCUGAGAGGAUGAUCAGUCACACUGGAACUGAGACACGGUCCAGACUCCUACGGGAGGCAGCAGUGAGGAAUAUUGGGCAAUGCACGAAAGUGUGACCCAGCAACGCCGCGUGGAGGAUGAAGGUAUUCUAUAUCGUAAACUCCUGUGAGAGCAGACGAAAGACAGAUUAUUAAUUUGGAUGACUGUAUGCUCAGAGGAAGCCCCGGCUAACUACGUG
rnacentral:rRNA from 1 species